AAGGGUGACUGCGUACCUUUUGUAUAAUGGGUCAGCGACUUAUAUUUUGUAGCGAGGUUAACCGAAUAGGGGAGCCGAAGGGAAACCGAGUCUUAACUGGGCGUCUAGUUGCAAGGUAUAGACCCGAAACCCGGUGAUCUAGCCAUGGGCAGGUUGAAGGUUGGGUAACACUAACUGGAGGACCGAACCGACUAAUGUUGAAAAAUUAGCGGAUGACUUGUGGCUGGGGGUGAAAGGCCAAUCAAACCGGGAGAUAGCUGGUUCUCCCCGAAAUCUAUUUAGGUAGAGCCUUGAGCGGACACCUUCGGGGGUAGAGCACUGUUUCGGCUAGGGGUCCAUCCCGGAUUACCAACCCGAUGCAAACUACGAAUACCGAAGAGUGAUACUCAGGAGACACACGGCGGGUGCUAACGUCCGUCGUGGAGAGGGAAACAACCCAGACCGCCAGCUAAGGUCCCAAAGUCUAUAUUAAGUGGGAAACGAAGUGGGAAGGCUUAGACAGCUAGGAUGUUGGCUUAGAAGCAGCCAUCAUUUAAAGAAAGCGUAAUAGCUCACUAGUCGAGUCGGCCUGCGCGGAAGAUGUAACGGGGCUCAAAUAUAGCACCGAAGCUGCGGCAUCAGACGAAAGUCUGUUGGGUAGGGGAGCGUUCUGUAAGCGGAUGAAGGUGGCUCGAGAGGGCUGUUGGACGUAUCAGAAGUGCGAAUGCUGACAUAAGUAACGAUAAAACGGGUGAAAAACCCGUUCGCCGGAAGACCAAGGGUUCCUGUCCAACGUUAAUCGGGGCAGGGUGAGUCGGCCCCUAAGGCGAGGCUGAAAAGCGUAGUCGAUGGGAAACGGGUUAAUAUUCCCGUACUUGGAUAAACUGCGAUGUGGGGACGGAGCAGGUUAGGUUAUCGCACUGUUGGAUAUGUGCGUUUAAGUUUGUAGGUGGGAAGUUUAGGCAAAUCCGGACUUCUAUAACACUGAGAGGUGAUGACGAGGCUCUACGGAGCUGAAGUAACCGAUACCACACUUCCAGGAAAAGCCACUAAGCUUCAGGUUUAUCUAAACCGUACUGAAAACCGACACAGGUGGUCAGGUAGAGAAUACUCAGGCGCUUGAGAGAACUCGGGUGAAGGAACUAGGCAAAAUAGCACCGUAACUUCGGGAGAAGGUGCGCCGGCGUAGAUUGUAGUCCCUAGCGGGCGAAGGUUGAACCGGUCGAAGAUACCAGCUGGCUGCAACUGUUUAUUAAAAACACAGCACUCUGCAAACACGAAAGUGGACGUAUAGGGUGUGAUGCCUGCCCGGUGCUGGAAGGUUAAUUGAUGGUGUAAUCGAAAGAGAAGCUCCUGAUCGAAGCCCCAGUAAACGGCGGCCGUAACUAUAACGGUCCUAAGGUAGCGAAAUUCCUUGUCGGGUAAGUUCCGACCUGCACGAAUGGCAUAAUGAUGGCCAGGCUGUCUCCACCCGAGACUCAGUGAAAUUGAAAUCGCCGUGAAGAUGCGGUGUACCCGCGGCUAGACGGAAAGACCCCGUGAACCUUUACUAUAGCUUGACACUGAACAUUGAAUUUUGAUGUGUAGGAUAGGUGGGAGACUUUGAAGUAGUCACGCCAGUGAUUAUGGAGUCGUCCUUGAAAUACCACCCUUUAACGUUUGAUGUUCUAACGAAGAUUACGAAACGUGGUCUCGGACAGUGUCUGGUGGGUAGUUUGACUGGGGCGGUCUCCUCCCAAAGAGUAACGGAGGAGCACGAAGGUUUGCUAAUGACGGUCGGACAUCGUCAGGUUAGUGCAAUGGUAUAAGCAAGCUUAACUGCGAGACAGACAAGUCGAGCAGGUACGAAAGUAGGUCAUAGUGAUCCGGUGGUUCUGAAUGGAAGGGCCAUCGCUCAACGGAUAAAAGGUACUCCGGGGAUAACAGGCUGAUACCGCCCAAGAGUUCAUAUCGA
rnacentral:rRNA from 1 species